UUGGAAGAACUGUAUGAAAGAAAUCAGUUAAAUUGUUGUUGUUAAUGAGAAGUGAGUAAAUGGAUGUUUGAAAUAUCUUUGUAUGGUGGAUUGAAUGCUACUGUAUAUUGUUGCUCAUUACCCUAAACCCUAAACCCAACUUAAACCUUAAACCCUAAACCCUAAACCUUUUAUUUAAUAAAUGGUUGUUGUUGUUUAAAUGCUGUAAAUUGAAGUGUUUAAAUGUUGUAAAUUUAAGUGUUUAAAUAUUGCAAUUUGAAGUGUUUAGUUGCUGCAAAAUUGAGAUGUUUUAUUGCUGUAAUUGAGGUGUAUAAAUUUUGUUAAUUGAGAUGUUAAAGUGCUGCAAAUUGAAGUGUUUAAAUGCUGUAAAUUGAAUUGCUUAAAUGUUGUAAAUUGAAGUGUUUAAGUACUGCAAAUUGAAGUGUUUAGUUGCUGAAAAUUGAGAUGUUUUAUCGCUACAAUUGAGGUGUAUAAAUCUUGUUAAUUGAGAUGUUAAAGUACAUCAAAUUGAAGUGUUUAAAUGCUGUAAAUUGAAGUGUUAAAGUGCUGCAAAUUGAAGUGUUAAAGUGCUGUAAAUUGAAGUGUUUAAAUGUUGUAAAUUGAAGUGCUUAAAUGUUGUAAAUUGAACUGUUUUAAGUACUGCAAAUUGAAGUGUUUAGUUGCUGGAAAUUGAGAUGUUUUAUCACUGUAAUUGAGGUGUAUAAAUGUUGUUAAUUGAGAUGUUAAAGUGAUGCAAAUUGAAGUGUUUAAAUGCUGUAAAUUGAAGUGUUAAAGUACUGCAAAUUGAAGUGUUUGAAUGUUAUAAAUUGAAGUGUUUAAAUGUUGUAAAUUGAAGUGUUUAAGUACUGCAAAUUGAAGUGUUUAGUUGUUGGAAAUUGAGAUGUUUUAUCGCUGUAAUUGAGGAGUAUAAAUGUUGUUAAUUGAGAUGUUAAAGUGCUGCAAAUUGAAGUGUUAAAAGUGCUACAAAUUGGAGUGUUUAAAUGUUGUAAAUUGAAGUUUUUAAGUACUGCAAAUUGAAUAGUUUAGUUGCUGAAAUUUAGUUUAUGUGCCAUGUUAUGAUUGUGUUUUAAAAUUUAACUUGUUUUAGUUCCUUACAUUCUUACAGGAUUCACAUUCAAGGAGUAAGAAACAUCGUAGCAACUCAUUGGGAUUGAACAGUCAGAAUUCAGAAUCAAGCGACACGCAAGAGCUAUAUUUGGAGCUUAGACUGUCACUGUAAUCAGUAAAUUUUUUCUGCCACUUUAAAUGCAUGCUCAUGGAACUGCAUUUUAUGCUUUCCUAGAAUUGUAAGUUCAAAUAAGGUGUUGAUCUUGCAAUUAAUACAUACAACUUGAGCAAGUUGAUAUGAACUAGUUUGAAUUUUUUUAAUCAAAGGAAUCUUAUGUAAUCGAAGGCAAUUUGACUUGCUACAUGAGAUAUAGUGAAAAACAUUGAUCUUCUUGUUCAUGAAUUUCUAUUUGAAUACGUCUUCA
rnacentral:lncRNA from 1 species